CCACACCUAAAAACUUUCCACGUGAACUGUCGUUAUUUGUUGUGUGUGUGCGYGUUGGUAGCAUGCGUGUUUGCUUACGCUUUGGUGUUUGCGAGUGUGUGUGUUGUCGGUGCGCAGACUGAACGAAGGUCGUGUGUUGCUGUGUGYCUGCUGCACUGCUGACUUUGCAUUGAUUUGCAUGRUGUUGGCGGAGYGGCGGGUGCUGUUGCRUGCGCGGCUGACCUAUUUUUUUCAAACCCCAUACSUAAAUGACUGAUUAUACUGUGAGAACGAAAGUUCUUGCUUUUAACUAGAUAACAACUUUCAGCAGUGGAUGUCUAGGCUCGCACAUCGAUGAAGAACGCUGCGAACUGCGAUACGUAAUGCGAAUUGCAGAAUUCAGUGAGUCAUCGAAAUUUUGAACGCAUAUUGCACUUCCGGGUUAURCUGGAAGUAUGUCUGUAUCAGUGUCCGUAAAUCAACUUGCGUUUCUUCCUUCCGUGUAGUCGGUGAGGAGAGUUGCAGAUGUGAAGUGUCUCGCUGUGGUUGGUGUUUGUGUUGCAAUGAAUGCACAGCUUGCGAGUCCUUUUAAUGGACACGACUUCUCUUUUUGUAUGUGCGCGGUGCUG
rnacentral:rRNA from 1 species